CAGGUGCUGAGACAGUCCCUCUUGUGCACAUGCAAGCGUGUUUCAUGGUUGGCAAAGAUUCAAUGAUUGUUUUUUUUUUCUUUGCUUACAAGAGAACUGGUACCUGAGAACUCAACAAUGGCACAAUAUGACACAAGUUACUCUAGGACAAGACAAGAAGCUACGUCAAAGUGGUCAGAUGUAAUUAAGAACAGCAAAGUGAUUGUAACAAACCCCAUACAAACAUACCUGCUGAACACAGUCCAGGAAUAUCUGAAUAAUGAAAGAACGGUCAGAAGAUACACAUUUGGACAAAAGGACCCUCAAAAAAGAAACAGGACAAUCCUGAUCGUAGGAGAAACAGGAACAGGAAAGUCUUCACUCAUCAAUAUGAUGGUCAACUACAUGCUGGGGGUAAAGUGGGAAGACAAGAUCAGGUUUGAAAUCAUCCCGGUUGAAGGUGAAAGUGACCAAACUGAAUCUCAGACCACUGCGAUUACUGCCUAUGAGAUUUAUGGGCUGGAGGAACAGCCUGUUCCUUUUUCCCUCACAGUCAUUGAUACACCAGGAUAUGGAGACACAAGAGGUCUGGAUAAAGAUAAAAACAUUGCUCAGAAUCUGUACACAUUAUUGAAAUCUGUAAGUGGUGUUCAACAAAUAGAUGCAGCUUGCCUUGUGGUAAAGGCAUCUGAAAAUCGCCUCAGUCCCAGCCGGAAGUACAUCUAUAAUGCCAUCCUGUCCCUCUUUGGGAAGAACAUGGAGGAAAACUUCCUGACUCUCAUCACCUUCUCAGACUGGAUGCCACCUUCAGAAGCUCUUCAUGCAGUUAUUAAGUCUGGCGUACCUUUCCGCAAAAACGAAGAUGGUGAACCUGUUCACUUCCUGUUCAACAACAAGUUUUCUCUUAAGAAUUAUAAAAAGAAAUAUGAAAAAUCAUUUAAAUUGCAGUGGGAUAGCGGAAUUGAGAGCAUGAGGGAGUUCUUCCAGACUUUGGAUGGAAUGGAAACUCAAAGCUUGAGGAUGACUGAAAAUGUCUUGAGAGAACGCCGGAGACUGGAAGCUUGUAUUCAGAGCUUGGAUGAGCAGAUCGAGGUAGGGUACAUGAAACAGAAGGCACUUGAGGACAAACAGAAAACUCUGGAAAAGCACAAAGAGGACAUCAGGAAAAGUAACAACUUUACAUAUAAAUACAAUGUAGUCGUCAUGAAGAAGGUCAAAGUUAAGAGCAAAGCAACUUGCUGCACCGUGUGUGAGGUAAACUGCCACUAUCCAGGAUGCUGGUGGGUAACUAACCUACGAUGGUGUUCUGUGAUGGAGAACAGCAAAUGUACCGUCUGUCCUGGAAAAUGCAGCUACACGGACCACAAAAAAGGCAAUGAAAUAUAUAAGGCAGUAAAAGAAGAAAAAACUGGAACUUAUGAGGACCUGAAAAAAGAUACUGAAGGCAAAAUACUCUCAGCGAAGGAAGUGAUGUCCAAACUUCAGCAAGAAGUGAAGGACAGUGAGGCUGAAAUGAGCAAACUGAUCGAGAAGUCUUAUAAGUCCAUUCUCCAGCUUAGAGACCUUGCUCUGAAGUUUAAUUCAGAUUCUACUCUUCAGAGUAUUCGCAGCCUGAUUGAAAUUCUGAAGGAGAACAAAGACAUGGAGAAGGUGGAAACACUGCAGAAGAUGCUGGAAUGUGAGGAGAUUAACAGACACGGGGAAGACGUGUGCUAAGUUGCAUGCGCUUCUGCCUUUCAGAGUUGUAUGGUCAGAAUUAUAUGGUUGAGCAAACAAAGUAAACAAAGGUAUAUUCAGUCAGGAUUAUAGCUUCACUUAUGUCCACCUCUAGUGGUGGAACCUAUUGUCUCCAUAGAAACUGCUGAAGAGACACUCCCAGGCUCAGCAGAACAAUAUAUUAGGUGUUUGGAGAAGUAAUCACAAUUAAAUCCAGAAAGCAAGUGUUUGACAAGAAGGAAAAUAUGACAGUAUGCUUGAGUGGUAAAAUACUACAACUUGUUUUAGUUUUUUAUAUUGGAUUGGUUUUGAGUUGAUUUUUAUUUACUAACUGGUGUGUUUUAUUAUUUAAAAAAUUGCAUCCAUGAAUAGCUUUUUUAGAAGUUGAUUUAGUGUGUAAUGUAGUUUUGGAUUUGUGAAAUACAUGAAGCCCUGUACUCCAUUAAAUAAAACUGGACAAAUAAUAUCAAGAAUCUUGCAAAAACUGUACUUGGGGGGAAGAACUGCUGGGGUAGUUCUUCACUGUUUCCAAUCUCGUAUACGGUCAGCCUUCAUUGCAGGUUAAUAUAACUUUGUUUACUUUGUUUGAAAUCCAGUUCUCCUCUGUUUAUUGCUUUUAAGGCCAGUUCAGAUCAAAACUAUGAGGGCAGAUCAGACAAGAUUAAUUUAUACAUUAUUUAACAUCAUAGAAAGGGUGUGAAGUUAAAUCAAUUUACUGUUUCUAUAGCAGCCAGUUAAUUGGUUGACCGAUUCCGUCUCAUCUUCCAAUUCAGGUCUCAAGAUUUGACCUGUAAACUUGUAACAUUCAGAGACCUCAAGUGGCCAUCAGCACACUUUCUAAUAAAAAACUUGGUUGUCCAAGGCAAAUGACAUUUAUUCUGAAAACAUCCUGCAACCCUA